AUUGAACGCUGGCGGCAGGCCUAACACAUGCAAGUCGAGCGGAGCGGCGGACGGGUGAGUAAUGCCUAGGAAUCUGCCUGGUAGCGGGGGAUAACGUCCGGAAACGGGCGCUAAUACAGCAUAUUAUUCGAGCGGCAGAUAACUGAUUAGCUAGUUGGUGGGGUAAAGGCCUACCAAGGCGACGAUCAGUAGCUGGUCGGAGAGGCCGAUCCGCCACACUGGAACUGAGACACGGCCCAGACUCCUACGGGAGGCAGCAGUGGGGAAUUGUGGACAAUGGGGGCAACCCUGAUCCAGCCAUGCCGCGUGUAUGAAGAAGGCCUUCGGGUUGUAAAGUACUUUCAGCGGGGAGGCGUUACCCGCAGAAGAAGCACCGGCUAACUCCGUGCCAGCAGCCGCGGUAAUAC
rnacentral:rRNA from 1 species